rnacentral:misc_RNA from 1 species
UGGUUCUGGCAUCGAUGAAGAACGCAGCGAAAUGCGAUAAGUAAUGCGAAUUGCAGAAUCCGUGAGUCAUCGAAUCUUUGAACGCACAUUGCGCCCUUUGGUAUUCCGAAGGGCAUGCCUGUUCGAGCGUCAUUAUCACCACUCAAGCCCGGCUUGCUGUUGGUGGCAGCGUAACCGGUCAACCGGUCACGCUCCGCCCAAAGAUAAUGACGGCGUCUGUGAGGACUCCUGUACACUGAGCUUUCGGGCACGUACACGGCUAGAAGUCCAGGCGCCGGUCGACGUCCUUUUAGGACACUUUUUACCAAGGUUGACCUCGGAUCAGGUAGGGAUACCCGCUGA